CCUACGGGAGGCAGCAGUGGGGAAUAUUGCGCAAUGGGCGAAAGCCUGACGCAGCGACGCCGCGUGAGGGAUGAAGGUCUUCGGAUCGUAAACCUCUGUCAGCAGGGAAGAACGGUCACUGUGCUAAUCAGCAGUGCAUUGACGGUACCUACAAAGGAAGCACCGGCUAACGCCGUGCGAGCAGCCGCGGGAAUACGGAGGGUGCGAGCGUUAAUCGGAAUUACUGGGCGUAAAGGGCUCGUAGGCGGUAUGUCAAGUCAAGGGUGAAAUCCCCGCGCUCACCGUGGGAACUGCCUUUGAAACUGGCAGACUGGAGUGUGGGAGAGGAUAGUGGAAUUCCAGGUGUAGGAGUGAAAUGCGUAGAUAUCUGGAGGAACAUCAGUGGCGAAGGCGACUAUCUGGCACAUAACUGACGCUGAGGAGCGAAAGCGUGGGUAGCAAACAGGAUUAGAUACCCGGGUAGUC
rnacentral:rRNA from 1 species